GGAUAGCUCAGUUGGUUAGAGUGUGGUUCUGAUAAUGUCAAGGCUGGAGGUUUGAUCCCCAUAUGAUACA